GGUAGCUACGUUCGGAAGGGAUAACCGCUGAAAGCAUCUAAGUGGGAAACCCUCCUCAAGAUGAGACAUCCCGUGCCCCUAGAGGGCACUGAAGGAACCAGGGAGAUGACCUGGUCGAUAGGCUGGAGGUGGAAGCGCGGCAACGCGUGCAGCCGACCAGUACUAAUCAGCCGUGAGGCUUGACCAUAUU
rnacentral:rRNA from 1 species